rnacentral:rRNA from 1 species
AGCAGUUCGGCGUGGGCACUCUAAGGAGACUGCCGGUGACAAACCGGAGGAAGGUGGGGAUGACGUCAAGUCAUCAUGGCCCUUACGGCCUGGGCUACACACGUGCUACAAUGGUCGGUACAAAGGGUUGCCAAGCCGCGAGGUGGAGCUAAUCCCAUAAAACCGAUCGUAGUCCGGAUCGCAGUCUGCAACUCGACUGCGUGAAGUCGGAAUCGCUAGUAAUCGUGAAUCAGAAUGUCACGGUGAAUACGUUCCCGGGCCUU